UUCAUUUUCUGUAAAUGCUACUCAAAGCAAUGGUGUUUCAAAUCUCCUGCCUCUCCUCAUACCCCCACCCACCUGACUUCUUCUUGCUGCUAUCACAUCUCCUACUUGGUAUAGAAAAUAAAAACUACUAGAAGUGAAAUUCUUCCAUUUUCUCUCACCAAACUGUCAGACCUGCCUGUCUACAUUGUUUUCCAGCUUCCUAUCAUGAUUCCAACAUUUGUCUAAGCUCAAAGCCUCACUUGAAUAGGUUCUGCUCAACCAGUAAAAAUCUGAGUCUGCGUACACUCAGUUAUCUCCCUGAUGACUUCAUUUCUACUGAAAACCAGAUUUAUGCAAUGGGACAAGCCAGCUACUACAACACACCUUUAUGUUGAACUAAACCUGC
rnacentral:lncRNA from 12 species